rnacentral:rRNA from 1 species
UCCUGGCUCAGGAUGAACGCUGGCGGCGUGCUAACACAUGCAAGUCGAACGAAGCAUAUAACGGAAUUCUCGGAGAGGAAGAUAUGAUGACUGAGUGGCGGACGGGUGAGUAACGCGUGGGCAACCUGCCCUAAUACAGGGGGAUAACAGUCAGAAAUGACUGCUAAUACCGCAAGUAAGACCCCGACACCGCAUGGUGAACGAGGUAAAAACUUAAGGUGGUAUAGGAUGGGCCCGCGUCUGAUUAGCUAGUUGGUGAGGUAGAGGCUCACCCAAGGCGACGAUCAGUAGCCGACCUGAGAGGGUGACCGGCCACAUUGGGACUGAGACACGGCCCAAACUCCUACGGGAGGCAGGCAGUGGGGAAUAUUGCACAAUGGGGGAAACCCUGAAUGCAGCGACGCCGUCGUGAAGGAAGAAGUAUUUCGGUAUGUAAACUUCUAUCAGCAGGGAAGAAAAUGACGGUACCUGACUAAGAAGCCCCGGCUAACUACGUGCCAGCCGCAGC